rnacentral:rRNA from 1 species
GACGUAGGGGGCCAGCGUUGUUCGGAAUUACUGGGUGUAAAGGGUUCGUAGGCGGUGUGGCAAGUCGGGAGUGAAAUUUCUGGGCUCAACUCAGAGACUGCUUCCGAAACUGCUGUGCUGGAGUGUGGGCGAGGCGCGUGGAAUUGCAGGUGUAGCGGUGAAAUGCGUAGAUAUCGUAAGGAAGACCAGUGGCGAAGGCGGGUCUCUGGACAGUUCCUGACGCUGAGGCACGAAGGUCAGGGGGAGCAAACGGGGAUUAGAAAACCCC